rnacentral:lncRNA from 1 species
GAACUUGUCCUUGUUUUUUGAGUCCAAGCUUUGAUUUAUGUUUGUCAUAAGUUUGUCAAAGCACAUAGAAAGAUGUUGCCUUUGAUCUACAGGCUGCAUAGUGAGAAACAAAAUGAAGGUCAUCACUACAAACAUUGACAUGUAUGGGAAAAUUAAGAGGAUAUAUGUUAGAUAAAGUGGCUAACAAGGAGUGUAUGAUCAAAGUCAUAUAAAGCACAUAAGUUCCAUCAAAGCUAAAAUAAAAGAAAACUAUAUGCUAGGCACAAUGAAUAAAACCAACCUUGAAGCGAAUAAGCGUAAAAGGAGAAAACUCACAUCUCUUAAACAUUUGACCUACCUUAAUUGCAAGGGAAGAAACCGAGCCACCUCAAAUAGAGGGGAAACUAAACUCCAUAAAUAAAUAAAACCAAUGAUAUUGGAUUUUUUGGUUAUCAUCCAUUCUUUUUCUUUGCACAAACAACAAUAAUUGGGUAAGGUUCACACAUGUUUUAUAAGAUGCUCUAAUAUAUGUGGAAAAGAAUAAAAAAAACGGAUAUAAAAAUUUUCUGAUUAAUCUUAGGGAUUACAUGAAUAUUAUAUACACUUAAUUAAAACAAAAAUAGAAAAUAAUUUGUCAAAGUUACGUAUUCCUAAAUCCUAAUCCAUGCUUUCCUAAACAAAUUGUGCUAUGGUUGAGAAAGAAGCUACCUAGGAUCGAUAAACUUAGUACCCAAGGUUCACGAACAAACUACCCUAAGCUUCAUUAAGGUAAUACCUCAGGUUCACAAAGGUAGUACCUAAGGUGCAUUAAGGUAGUACCUAAGGUAGUACCUUAGGUACAUUAAGGUAGUAUCUAAGAUGUAGCAAGGUAGUACCUAAGAUGCAUUAAGGUAGUACCUAAGAUGCAUUAAGAUAGUACCUAAAGUACAUUAAGGUAGUACCUAAGGUGCAUUAAGGUAGCACCUAAGAAGAACCUCUCGAAUAACCUAUUAGAGCAUAAUAAUCUCAUGCUUAAUUAAGGAAAUCGUGUACUAAGUAGAGAAGUUUGACAUUUAUCAAUUCAUAUUUAAACUAAGAUGGAAGUGAAUGAAAUACCUAAGGUUCACAAAGGUAGUACCCAAUGUUCACUAUGAUAGUACCUAAGGAGCAUUAAGAUAGUACCUAAAGUUCACUAAAGUAGUACCCAAGGUUCACUAAGGUACUACUCAAGGUGAAUUAAGGUAGUACUCAAGGUGAAUUAAGGUAGUACUUAAGGUUCACUAAGGUAGUACUCAAGGUUCAGUAAGGCAGUACCUAAGGUUGAAAAAAUUAGUACCUAAGGGUGGUCAUCUUAAGAAAGUUAGUUUCAACAAGAAUGCAUAGUUGAGAAAAAUAAAUUAAGAACAAAAAUUAUAGCAAUAUAUUAAAUUCCCAUCUUGUGAAAUAGUUUUUUGUCAUUUUCACUUAUUGCCUUAAUCAAUUCAUCAUUUUUCACCUCAAUUAGAAUGUAUUCAAGCACGGAUUUUUUUUUUUUCAUAAUCUAGUAAUUCUGUAAUAAUUCCCAAUUAAAAAAAAAUGAAAACAUAUAAUGAAAUCCCUAAAAAUAUUUAUAAAAAAAAUGAAUGAAAUUCUAGGGUUAACUUGGCAACUUUGUUUGCAAGCUUCCUUUAUGGUACAAAGCUGCCAAUAUUAGUUUCCAGGCAAGUGUAUAAAGUAAUAUUAUAAUUACUAUGGAAUUACCAAAGCCACAUUCUUCACUUAGUAGAAUUGUUUCAUAUAUUAAUAGAAAGAAUAAAAUUGUGUUCAAAUGUGAAGUUUUAAAACCAAAGAAAUGACCCACUGAGCUAUAAAUCCCCAAGGUUACAUUUCAGGCUUUAAAAUAGAGUCCAUAAAAAGUAAAGGCUAGCUUAUUGUGUUCUAUAUUUUUAUUUUGUGAUUUCUAUUCUAUUUUACUAGCCUUCAACAUUUUUGGUUUCCAAAAACUUAACUGUACCAUAAUAUUUUUCUUUUGUUUUCAGUUUUAAGAACAAAAUGUGCAUUGAAAAAAAGGCAACUAGAAAGACCUAGCAAGACACAUUGGUAAAGAAGAGCACUAAAUAACUCUACUUAUUUUCUACAAGUUAUAAACUUCAUUACCAUUAUCAAGAAUAAGAAUUUGGGAAAAGGAACUCAAUCCACAAUAGAAAAAAACCCCAGUGAUUGGAGAAGGCAACUCCAUUUGUUCCUUGCUUAAGCAAUGACAAUCUAUUUGCUAACUUGAAAGGUGUAAGUGAAAGAAAUUUCUCAUUUAGGGGAAUGCAUGCACAAAAUAAGAACCACAAUUGGACAUGCAAUGCUCAAUUUUUUGGUAACUGUAACAUUGAUCUAUUUCAAAUCUUAAUUCCAUUAAAAAAAAAAAAUCAACUUGUAGACCUUUCUUAUUUAAAAUUUUGGAACAACAAUUUAGAUUAAGAAGCAUUAAAACAAAUAAUGAGUUUAAGGAACCUAAAAUAUAAAAUAAAUUUUUAUUUUUAUUUUUUUUGUAUUAGAGUUCCUAAAUUUUAUAUAAAGUUGCUAUUAUUCUAUAUUUUUAAAAAUGAAAAAUUGGAAGUGCAUCAAACCACACCUUAGUCAUGGGAAAAACAAAUCUAUCAAAAGAAUCUUCCUAAUUCUCUAUUUAUUUGCUAAGAUACCGAGGAAAAGAAUAGAAAAUAAAAUAAAAUCUAAAACCUUCAGUUAUAUUUGAUUGAUUAGAUAACUGAAAAGUGUAUUUUCCAUUGACUCUCAUUCACUUAUAGAAAAUCAUUUCCCCAAAAUUUCCUCAUGUAAGACAAAGCAUCACAUAAGACAAAAAAGAAAAAAAAUACAAGAAAAAAUAUAUGUUUUUUUUUUUUGUGUAAAAUUUUCCUACAAGCUUAACAUAUGUUGGAAAAUAACUUAAUCCCUCAUUUAAUUAACACAAUAACAAUUAGCUCAAUGACUCCAAUCAAAAUAUUAGUUUAGUGAUGUAUGGACAACUAUUCGACAUAAAUAAACUCAGUCAUUCACUUUCACCCAACUCAAUCCCUGAAAAUGUCAAAACUUUAUAUUUCCUUUCAAUUUCAACAAAUUUCUCAGCAAUUGAACGCAUGAAAGCUAAACAUUUCAGAUAAGCCCAAUCAAGUUGAAGCAUGUUGGCAAUGGCAUGGAAAAAAAAAACAAGAAUCAAUAAGAAAACCCUAGAAUUACAAUGAAUUAUAGAAUCAUUCUCAAGCAAUAAAAAAUUUAAAAGAAAAAUUGUAGAUUGAAGCCCUAGAUCACCAUCGUUCAAAUCAUAUACAUAUAGAAACAGAGAGUGAGAGAGUACCUGGGAUGAGAAUGAUAGAGACGUAAAGAAAGAGAAAGUCGGGUGAGAGAGGUGAAAAUGAUGGGAUGUGAGGAGAUGGUGGUGGGUGGCGGUGAUGGUAGGCAAAGGCACCUAAGGAUGCGCAGCUUCUGCUAGAUCACACACCAAGUUGUUGAGUCUCGAUUGUAGACCACACACAAGGAGAAAA